rfam:Heterocephalus glaber contig210282, whole genome shotgun sequence.
GGGAGUAUAGCUCAGAGGUACAGCACUCGCCCAGCACAUUCAAAACCCUGGGUUCAAUCCCCAGUACUACCA